AACAACUACAGUGAAAUGUGCAACACCCGCCUACGGCAGAGAUGCCACAGAACAGCACACCCAGCUCCUCAACCUUCAGUGCAGUCAGCAGCAGCCCCCUUGCAGCCAUCAGCAUGGACAAGGGCAUACCCAGGACGUACCCUGUGCAUAGAUGAGGUGUUUCUGUGAUUUUUGCACUUGCACACUGGAACCUGAAGCAAUUAUACCUGACUCCCAAGUGUGUAGAAGCCAGCUUUGUGUAGGGGUUAGCAAUGGGUUAAAGUCUUGCCUGGCAUGAGAGGCAAGAGGAGGAGAGUGUUUUCAAGUAUUUGCUGGAAUGCACUGUCUGGAAUCAAGGGUUGAGAUAUUUGAAAGAAGACUCUACAUUACAGACUAUGGGAACAACUGGUUUUAUCCUCUGAAUCACUCCAGAAGGCAUCACUUCUAUCAAAGUAAUCAUGUAAAAAAGACCCUGCUGCAGAAGACAAACAGGAGGGAAAGGAGGAGAGGACAUGAUAACGUGCCAGGGGACAUGGAAGCUACUCGAGAGACCAAGCUCGUGCCUGGAGAGGCCUGGGCAUGCCUUUUACCGACAAGUGACCAUCAGGCCCUGCUUUGUCACAGCAGGGCUGUGCGCCUGGCUGGCAUUCAGCUGGCUUGCACAGCUUCCCUCAAAGGGGGCAGGCUGUUCCCCUGUCUGCUUUUCUUUGCUAAUUUUCUGACACAGGAGCUCCCUGGCCGUCCUGCAGCCAGACAAAAGCUUUGACUAGCACAGCAAAUGUGUAGGAAUUAGUCCCUUAGGGCAAGCUGUAACUUCUAAAGCCAGCUUCAACAGAAGUAAAUGCGUUGCCACAGCCAGAAAUUCCCUAGCAAGUAAAGAGCAUGGCAGUCACAGGCCCACAAAGUGAAUGAAGCCACAAGAACAACAGAGGUUAUACCAACUGAGAUUUGGUUAUACCAAGAGAUUUAAGAGGUCUGCAGGUGUAAAGGGCAAGUCCUACACAAAACCCUGUGAGUCUGACUUAGCUACACCAGUUGUAAAAGAAGUGUAGCAUGACCAGAAGUAAAUUGCCUUUUGUGCACAUUUCUCUAUAAAUAUAUGGGCAAAUAAGGAGUUCUCACCAUCUAGAUGUGGAAUAUAAUUUCUUGAGAAGGUGAGAGGUGACAUGCAGGGAAUUUUUCCAUAUGGUAUUUCAUCCAGAAUUAAAUAUUGUGGAUGCCUGAAUCCUGUGUUUCAG